GGAGGCUGAGGUGGGCAGAUCACUUGAGGCCACCCUGGGCAACAUGGUGAAACCCUGUCUCUACUAAGAUACAAAAAAUGAGUUGGGCAUGGUGGCUGGUGUCUGUAGUACUAGCUACUUAGGAGUCUGAGGCAGGAGAAUCCCUUGGACCCAAGAGGUGGAGGUUGGAGUGAAUCAAGAUCGUGCCACUGCACUCCAGCCUGGGCAACAUUGAAUGCUGUGGAGUAGACCAUUCAGUAGGGUUGCGGACCAAAAAAAAGUCUAAUACCAAAGUAAAAAAGUGAGACAUGGGAGAUGAUGGAACAGGGAGAAGAUAUAUUGUUAAGUAUGAAUUAUGCAAUCAUUUUUUCAGAAGGGAGCAUGCAUAAAGAUGAAAGUGAAUGGCCCUCAGAGUACAGGGAUUUAUGAAAAGUAGAAUUCACAGUAGAUAAUAUAUUUAUGUUAUUUUUCAAAGUACCCACUCAUGGUAACUUGUUUUUACUGUUUAUUUUUGUUUGUUUGUUCAUUUUCACAUAAUUACGGCUCUAGAGGAGAGAGAGUAGAAGUCUUGUCUGGAGCAAGUAGUAAAGGAAGGCUGGUAGAUCAGCUGAUACUGAGGAAGAGAUUUCCAAUAUGGGUGGGAGAAGAAAAUCAAGCCCUAUGGAGAACUCUCCAAUAUGCAUCUUGGCUUCUAUAUAAAAAAAAGCUUAUGUAAAAAAUGCUAAGUAUAAACGCUGGCAAAUAAGUUUCAUACCAAAGAAGUCAGAGAAAAGGUUAUCAGUUUCUACAAAGUAAUAUAGUUAUCAGUCCAAGAAAGAGGAAAGAGGAAAUGAAAAAGACAUUUCAAAACAAGGUGUCAACUCUAAGAGUUUAUGCUUUUCUUCUACUUGUAUAGUAUAAAAUAUUUUUCCAUAUUUAAGCCAUAACUGAUUUUAAAACAUUUUCACCUUUCUAGAAUUUCUAUUAAAUUUCUAAAUUUUCCAUCAGUAAAAUUAAAACUUCACAGAUAUUGCUAACAAUAAUAUUAAGAAUACAAACUAGUACAAGUCAUUAUUAUUUUUCCUUAAAGGUUUUGCCAAUGAAUGUGCUCACUGUUACGUACACUCACACAUCCACACAAAAACACACACCAUCAUUUCCG
rnacentral:lncRNA from 1 species